AAUUGGUUUGUCAUUAGGAGCCUAUAAGGUAUUAAUUUUGCUUAUUUGUGAAGACUAUAAGGUGACAUUAACUAGAGGUCGUUGAUGGGGGAUUAUGGAAUUGAGAAUAGUGGACAAAAAAUAUAAAUAAUAGAGACAAUGGACCAAGAAAUAAAUAAAAUAGCUAGAAUAAUGGUGUUAAAAUGUAAUGAUAAGAGAAUAAUUGUCAAAAAGUAUAAAGAAUAGAGAAAUAUGGCAUAAAAUAUCAAAGAAUACAGAAAUUAAGAACCCCGAAUCCAGACCAUCAUACUA
rnacentral:lncRNA from 1 species